GAAUUACGAAUUUCACCUGCUGACCACUGUCCAUUAUGUGGUGUUUAGUACGUCAUAUCACAAUUGUAGGUUAUUUUUUAUAUAUGCUGGAUUAUUAGGUCACUUCUUCCGAUGCUCUCUUAUAUUAUGUUUGCAUUUCAUUUCAGAAAAGCUGAUCUCAUGUGGAUUUUAUGGUAAAUCAUACAAUAAAUUUAUGUUAUCUCGGAAGUACUAACUUCUACAGUAUAGUAGCAAGUCAAGCUAGAAGGUGAAGCAGCACAACGCAAUGUUAGGAGAUGGGUUAAUGAAUAUUAUUUUUGUGGUAACCGAUGGCCUGCUCCCUUAAGUGGAAGGGGAAUAUGUUUGACGGAGAUGGAUAGGCAUUGUGUGGUAUAAUGGAAGGAGGCGCAGAUGUGGACACCCGAGUCGUUCACGGUGCCGACACAGUCAUCCUCGCCCUUGGCGAGUACGAGGCGUUGCUAAACCACCUGACUGAGACACCCAGGAACCAAAGUGUCUUCUCCCAGCCGGUCAGGAGGAAAGGCGCAGGACGGUGCCGGAGCUGACCUCACACCUAGGACUUUGCCGGGGUUGGCCCUCUCGCAGGUGCCUAGACUCUCCUCUUCCUCCCUUGCUUUCACUCUUCUUUUUUAAUUCCUAGAACAUAUCGUCUUUGUGUGUGCAGAUACUUUCUUUUAUCUGUUCGUUUUCCUCAUUUUUGUGCAACUGAAUUAUAUUAAUAUUUGAUGGAUUUAUAUUGAGAAAUUUAAGCAUUUGUAGAUCCAUGAACACGCCCUCCUAAUUUUCACUAACGGGUUAUUGCAACAAGGUCGUAACUUGGAAAAGAGAAGCUCUCUCUGUGUGAAUUAUUUGCCUAUUUGACUAGCAUACCAAUUCUGGGAUAUUGUUUGGACUUGGGACAUUGGGAAGGAGCAUGUUAAUUUGUUCGAUGAACAAUUAAGUAAGUUGCUAUACAUUUGAAAGCUUGAUCAGAAGGAACUGGACAGAUAAAUCUUGAGUGUAUGCCCAUUUCUUUUGUGUAUUUUUAUUUAUUCUGUAUUUGGUUCAGUUAUUGCAGCCAGUAGCGGACUGCAAUUUAACCUGAGCAUUACACCAUUCUCUCGUAAAAAAUCAAUUCCAGGAACAGUAACAUGAGAAGAUAUGCAAAUUUUUCAAAUGCAGUUCGGAGAACGCCACCUAUUCUCACAAAACUUACUACAUCCUGCGCUUGGAGCAUUUGCUCCCAUUGCUCACAACCUGUUCAAUGAGCAGUUGGAUCUCCAAUAAUAGGUCAGCCUCUCUCUGGUCCAUGUCAUCAAGCAGGCUUAUAAUUAGAUAAAGCCAAUAUUAGGUAACUUGUGGUGCAUAUUCAGUGUGCUUCCCUAUUAAAUAGUUGCAACUGAAAAUAAAAGCACAAAUGGUUUAGGGAGUUGAAGACUUACAAACCUGGCUCUGUGUUCAAUGUGGUUCCUAUGGUGUUGGGGACUUUGUACCACAAAUAUUGCAGGUUGUUUCGCGUAUUAGAAAGUUUAGCCAUAGUUUG